rnacentral:rRNA from 1 species
CAGAGGUAGGCGGAGUUCGUGGUGUAGCGGUGAAAUGCUUAGAUAUCACGAAGAACUCUGAUUGUGAAGGCAGCUUACUGGAUUGUAACUGAUGCUGAUGCUGGAAAGUGUGGGUAUCAAACAGGAUUAGAUACCCUGGUAGUCCACACAGUAAACGAUGAAUACUCGAAGUUGGCGAUAUUCGGUCAGCGUCCAAGCGAAAGCAUUAAGUAUUACACUUGGGGAGUACGCCGGCAACGGUGAAACUCAAAGGAAUUGACGGGGGCCCGCACAAGCGGAGGAACAUGUGGUUUAAUUGGAUGAUUCGUGAGGAACCUUACCCGGGCUUAAAUUGCAACAGACUGAACCGGAAACGGUUCUUUAUUCGGACAGUCGUGAAGGUGCUGCAUGGUUGUCGUCAGAUCGAACCGUGAGGUGUAGGGUUAAGUGCCAUAACGAGCGCAACCCUUAUCGAUAGUUAUUAUCAGGUCAUCAUGAGGACUCUAUUGAGACUGCCGUAGUAAGAUGUGAGGAAGGUGGGGAUGAAGUCAAAUCAGCUCGGUCUUUACGUCCGGGGCUACACACGUGUUGCAAUGGGGGGUACAGAAGGCAGUUACACGGCGACGUGGUGCUAAUCCCUAAAGCCUCUCUCAGUUCGGAUUGGAGUAUGCAACCUGACUCCAUGAAGCUGGAUUCUCUAGUAAUCGCGCAUCAGCCCAGGCGCGGUGAAUACGUUGCCGGGCCUUGUACACACCGCCCGUCAAUCCAUGAAAGCCGGGGGUACCUGAAGUCCGUAACCGCGAGGAGCGUCAUAGGGUAAAAC